GCCAGCGUAGCUCAGCAGGUAGAGCAGGGCUUUCGUAAAGCCAAGGUCGCCGGUUCGAAUCCGGCCGCUGGCU
rnacentral:tRNA from 2 species